rnacentral:rRNA from 1 species
AUUGAACGCUGGCGGCAGGCCUAACACAUGCAAGUCGAACGGUAGCACAGAGAGCUUGCUCUCGGGUGACGAGUGGCGGACGGGUGAGUAAUGUCUGGGAAACUGCCCGAUGGAGGGGGAUAACUACUGGAAACGGUAGCUAAUACCGCAUAACGUCGCAAGACCAAAGUGGGGGACCUUCGGGCCUCACACCAUCGGAUGAACCCAGAUGGGAUUAGCUAGUAGGCGGGGUAAAGGCCCACCUAGGCGACGAUCUCUAGCUGGUCUGAGAGGAUGACCAGCCACACUGGAACUGAGACACGGUCCAGACUCCUACGGGAGGCAGCAGUGGGGAAUAUUGCACAAUGGGCGCAAGCCUGAUGCAGCCAUGCCGCGUGUAUGAAGAAGGCCUUCGGGUUGUAAAGUACUUUCAGCGAGGAGGAAGGCAUUAAGGUUAAUAACCUUGGUGAUUGACGUUACUCGCAGAAGAAGCACCGGCUAACUCCGUGCCAGCAGCCGCGUAACAC